GGGAGGAAGAGGAAUCAAUGGAAGAGGAAGAGAUGGAGGCCAUGCUGGAGGUAGAGGAAGAGGAAGACAAGAACGUGGUAGAGGUAGAGGAAGACAAGAACGUGCUCAAAGAGGACCGAAUCUGGCAAAUGAGAUCCGCGCAACACUGGUUGACCACGUUGUCAACCACGGCCUGAUGCUGAGGGAGGCUGGACUGAGAGUACAGCCAAAUCUAAGACGAUACACAGUGGCAAGUGUGAUAAGAACAUUUUGACUGGAAAAUAGGAUUGAGGGUCAGGAACGACGAGGUGGAAGGCCUCCUAUGUUCACAGAACAGCAAGAGAGGGAGAUAGUAAACAUGGUUUUGGCCAACAAUGCUAUAACCCUCAAUCAGCUCCAAGCUAACAUUGUCAAUAACCAUGUCGGUUUCAACAAUAUCCAUCAGGUCUCAACAUCAACACUGGCACGCAUCCUAAUAAAAAACCAUAUUCAAAUGAAGAAAAUUGAUCGAGUGCCUUUAGAUCGCAAUUCCAAAAGGGUGAAACGAGUGCGGCAUGAUUAUGCAGAGAGAGUUUAACAAAUGGAUGGAGAGGAGAUCCAGCAUGAGUUCAUUUACGUAGAUGAGGCUGGGUUCAACCUGACGAGAACACGAAGGAGGGGAAGAAACAUCAUUGGCCACAGGGCUAUAAUCAAUGUCCCAGGGCAACGUGGGGGUAAUAUAACACUCUGUGCAGCCAUUACACAGAAUGGGGUCCUCCACCGCCAUGCCCAUAUGGGCCCUUACAACAUAGCACUCAUACUUAGAUUCUUGGACCAAUUGCACAACAUAACAGCAGCAAAUGAAAUCGAUCAUAUGCAAUACAUUGUUGUAUGGGACAAUGUGUCUUUCCACCGCUCUGCUCUGGUUCAGAACUGGUUUCAGCAACAUCCACAUUUCACAGUCCGAUAUCUUCCACCAUACUCUCCAUUUCUCAACCCUAUAGAAGAGUUUUUCUCGGCAUGACGGUGGAAGGUAUAUGAUCUCCAUCUCCAGGCUGAGGUACCCCUCAUCCAAACCAUGGAGGAGGCCUGUGACCAGAUGGAGGUAGCAGCAAUGCAAGGAUGGAUUCGUCAUUCAAGACGUUUCUUUCCAAGGUGACUUGCUAAUGACAACAUUGCCUGCGAUGUUGCUGAAAUUUUCUGGCCAGAUCCAGCUAGGUGAAGAGACAAUGUCUAGUUUUUGUUUUGUUUUUUACAGUUAACUUGCAGUACAAUACGUAAAGUGACAUUUUGUUACAGUAUUAUGAAUCUCCAUGUCAACAUUUUGGGCGUUUUGAGAAAUAAAUGAGUUUCUUCAGUGUGCAACAUUGGUCUUGUGUAGUGUUUGGUGAAUUUACAUUAUAUUUGUACUUUGUUGAUGGUAGCCAACUCUAAUCAUAGGGAAGUAGAAGUGCUAAAAGUGUUUUAGGUUUAUCACAGCAGA